rnacentral:rRNA from 1 species
GAUGAGCGCUAGCGGCAGGCCUAAUACAUGCAAGACGAACGGUGUCUUCGGACAUAGUGGCGCACGGGUGCGUAACACGUAUGCAACCUACCUUACAUUGGGGGAUAGCCUUUCGAAAGGGAGAUUAAUACCGCAUAAGACAGUAGCUGGGCAUCCAGCAGCUGUUAAAGAUUUAUCGAUGUAAGCUGGGCAUGCGUCCAAUUAGCUAGUUGGUGAGGUAACGGCUCACCAAGGCAAUGAUUGGUAGGGGAACUGAGAGGUCAAUCCCCCACACUGGAACUGAGAUACGGGCCAGACUCCUACGGGAGGCAGCAGCAGGGAAUAUUGGGCAAUGGACGCAGGUCUGACCCAGCCAUGCCGCGUGCAGGAUGAAGGCGUUAUGCGUUGUAAACUGCUUUUAUACAGGAAGAAACGACUCUUGCGAGAGGCAUUGACGGUACUGUAUGAAUAAGCACCGGCUAACUCCGUGCCAGCCGCCGCGGUAAUAC